rnacentral:rRNA from 1 species
GGAAAGUGGCGAACGGGUGAGUAACACGUGAGAAACCUCGACCCCAAAGAUUGGGAUAAGCCUUAGGAAACGAGGUCUAAUACCAAAUACCUUCCUUUUAACACAUGUUAAAAAGAAGAAAUGCUCCGGCGCUUUGGGAUGGUCUCGCGAUCUAUCAGCUUGUUGGUGAGGUAACGGCUCACCAAGGCAUCGACGGAUAGCUGGUCUGAGAGGAUGUCCAGCCACAUUGGAACUGAGACACGGUCCAAACUCCUACGGGAGGCAGCAGUAGGGAAUCUUGCACAAUGAGGGAAACCUUGAUGCAGCGACGCCGCGUGCGGGACGAAGGCCCUAGGGUUGUAAACCGCUUUCAGUAGGGACGAAAGUGACGGUACCUACAGAAGAAGCCCCGGCCAACUAUGUG